rnacentral:rRNA from 1 species
AGGAUCAUUAAUGAAAAGUCUUAACUGACCGCUCAUCAUUACCCACUUGACAUAUACCACCCCUUUUUUUGCUUCCACUGGUCAGUGUUUGAAGGCUUGAGACGUCGAAAGGCGCUCCCAAGUCCCAAACCCUUAAGCCUUUUUCUCGGAAAAGUGCCUUGAGCGUGCCGGUGGUUGCCUUUGACAAAAACCAAACACAUGAAUUUUCCGAGCAAUAUUGUCUGAAUCAAAUUUUUUAUAAAAAAAUUCUUUAUAAAACUUUCAACAACGGAUCUCUAGGCUCUUGCAUCGAUGAAGAACGCAGUGAAAUGCGAUACGUAAUGUGAAUUGCAGAAUCUCGUGAAUCAUUGAAUCUUUGAACGCACAUUGCGCCCUAUGGUAUUCCAUAGGGCAUGCCUGUCUGAGCGUCAGCUCCCCCCCACUCAAGCUCUUUUGCUUGGAUUAUUUCGGACAAGCAGUUCUUCUGAAGGAUUGCUGCCCGUAAAUUCAUAGGCAGUAUGGUUCCCCUCAUUCCAAGCUGAGCGUAAUAAUUAAAACAAUCACGCCCUGGCAAAGAAAU